rnacentral:lncRNA from 1 species
AUGAACUCACUUGAUUGAUUGAAGAAAGCGUGACGAAAACCGAGCAGAACUUCUACUCGAGAAAGCGGAUCUCUCGAGAUUCUCGGGAAAUCUCGGGAGUCUCGGGAGUGUAAAACUUUCUUCCCACCUUGGAUAUGAAAACCGGGCCUUUGGGAUGACUCCGAGGGUUGAAACGCAGAGCUUCGGCGCGAGAAAGGAAGGAAAUUAGCAAAUUUGGCCGGCACCCUCGCAUCUCUAUUUAUAGGGGUCUGAGAGGUCUCGUUACGCGGGGCGUACUAGAGUACGCGCUGCGUACUCAUGCGUCAUGCAUGAGCGCAUCCUCGGUCGAAACAUCGGAGCGACGUGGACGAACCGGAGCCUAGCAUCCGAGUACGCUGGGCGUACGAGGGUACGCUGGGCGUACGAGGGAUCGGACCGGUGACUCCUUCUUCGGAUAAUACCGGGAUUUAAUUUAAUUUAUAUUUAAAUUAAUUAACAAACUUCAAAAAUUCAUAUCUUUCUCAUACGAACUCCGUUUUCGACGUUCUUUAUAUCCACGCGAAGGUGAGACUACGAUCUACAACUUUCGUUUAGACUCCGUCGGCUAGUUUUGAAUUUAUUUUUAAUAUUAUAUUUUUAAUAGGUCGGGACAGGAAAAGUCCGUUAAAGUUCCAUAACUUCUUCAUCCGACGUCCGUUUUCGUCAGACUUUUUACCGUUGCGCUAGUAUUGUUGAGCCCUUCGAUUCUCAUUUAGAUUGUGUCGGCUAAAAGUCUCUCGAUCUCUAUUUCGAGUUUUUAAUUGUCUACUGUUAUAUCUGUAACUUAGAAAAAAGCACAACUUCCUCAUACGAAGUCAGAUUUGGACGUUCUUAUUAUGUACGUUUACGGUUUGAUGAUAUCUAAAACUUUCAUUUAGAUACCUAAGGCCAAAAACUAUUGUAUUGAAACUUCGUGUUUUACGUUUAUCAGUAUUGCCGGUUUUUGCCGAGAAUCUUCGGUUGGUCAUAACUUCUUCGUUAUAACUCGGAUUUUAGGGAUCUUUAUAUGUAUGAAAACCUUGACACGAUUCCUACUACUUUAUUUAACCCAAAUAAGAUUUUAGGAAAGUUAAAUUUUGACCUAAAUUUGACUUGCGUUCCAUCAUAAUGCCUCGAAAUAUCGGGUUGUCACAUCAUCCCCCCGUUAGAGGGAAUUUCGUCCCGAAAUUAGAGUUUAAGCAGAAUUGAUACUAUGCUACGGAUAAAAGUUUAAUUUGAUCUUUGCGUUCCUAAGUGAAUUCAAAUCUUCGCAUGGCCUUCCAGUUAACCUUUCACUAUCGGUACACGACUUUGCUUCUUUCGUUUGACUUUACUGGCAUGAUAACUCUUCUUGGUCGAACGUAUGUUGGAUGUGUUUGUGGACUGUGAUAAUAGUACAUCUUGUACCUUACAAGUAUUGUCUCUAGAUCUUCAAAGCAAUUACUGCUGCCCCUGACUCAAGAUGUGUUGUAUAAUUAACUUUCUGCGUCUUAAGUUGUCUUGAGGUAUAGGCAGUGACCUUUCCUCUUGUAUAAGAACAAAACUAAUUCAUACUGAUUAUGAAGUUAGAACCUUGUGGUUGAUUAGAUGUCGUGAAGAUCUAAAAGUAAGUAUGAUUACUCAUAAAUUUAGGAAAAAGAAUAGGUACUUUUGUUCCAUCUGUCUCUCUUGUCCCGAUCGGCGGAAAGGGCAUGUGUUUGGCUUCUAAGUUUAUUCACAUGGCAGCAUGAUCACUCGUAGUCUUAAGUAGUCUCCAUCUUGAAGUUCAUCUUAGAACUAAUACCUGGUUCAUCAAUUUCAGUUUUGCGUAUAAGAGUCGUAUAUAAUUAAGAUUGAAAAGGUAGUCGAAUAAAUGAUUCUUCUUUAAGCCCACAUCCCAACGAGGAAAAGAACUUAAAGUGGAAUCAUCAAUUCUAAACCUGUAGAACCUUGAUUAUAUACUACCCCUAUGUACACAUUCUUCAGCGAUAGAUCAACCGUAUGGGUCUUUGGAUUGAACUUGACGUACUGUACGAGUGGUACUUUAGGGCGGUUUGUUGAAUUUUUCUUCGAAAAGGAUGGGAAACAAUAAGUGCUCUAUGCACGAGUACUUUGGUGUUCUGGAAUGACGACUUUGCUAGAAAGACGAUUUCGGAGGAAGAGAUGUACGUAUGAAGCUGUUUUUGUGAGGAUCAAAUUGAAUUGAGUCAUAUGAUAAUGUCGGAAUCAUAAGGAAACUUAAAGACAUUAGAUUUGAACUUAAGACGUUUACAGACAAAACACAACCGUGCAACCAUCAACAAAGUUACAGCACUUUAGACUACUAUAAGACUAUUGCUGCGAAUAAGGUAUACUACAAAAGGUAAGUAUACGUAGUACGAGCAUCCCUAUACCGAUGGGAUCCCGCAAAAAAAUAAGACUCUAGUUGCACUAGUUUUAACCAUGUUUUAAAAAGACAUACAUAAUACUGACGAUUGGAAGUAAACCUAUACUAUAGUAGGGUCCUUCGUUGCUUCUUUCCAUUCUGAGGUCAAAGACCUCCAGAUUCGCCGUCGUCCUUCUCUGUUGGACAGUCCCUCUUGAAGUGUCCCAUUACGCCACAUAGAUGGCAUAUUCGAGAGAUUUCGACAUUGGUGUUUGAAGUAAUUUGUUGGGUCUGAGUCCAGCAGCAAUUUGUAGUAUGUCCGUUCUUGUUGCAUUUAAAGUAGUGUAACGGACGACAACCACCCAGAUGAUGGAAGUUGCACUUAUUGCAUUUCGGUAGGUUUCCGGCAUAUUGUCGAGCUGGUGUAGGGACAAUUGGGAUACCCGAAGGGAUGGUAGUAGGAGGUACAGAUGUCGUGGCUGCAAAGGUUGUCACAUGUUGUUGUCUUUUGCUCGCCCCUUGGGGUGAUUUUUCUUUAGCUUUAGCCCAGAACUUUCGCUUGUUAUUCUUGGGUUUGGGAUUCGGGGUUUCGUGGUAGUUUAUUGCUCGUUGAGGUAUUUGAUUGUUACUUGGAUUGGAGUUAUUGUUAACAAUCCCGCUAACAUUCGCGUUGUUAGCGUUAAGGUGGGUCAGAACAGCUGACACGGCAGCCGAGACUGCAGCGUGAAAGGUAGCUGCAUCAAUCUGAAGAGUUGGUGUUUGGUAGAUGGGUUGAUCGUUUUUCUUCGGCGACAUGAUUCUGUUAUAUGGAAAGAAAAUGAAUUUGUGAGCGAGAAUGGUUGAACCUGGAUGUACUUCGAUCGCUUAAGUAAAGAGUAGAAGUAUGUUCUUGAAGUUUUGACCUACAUCUCUAUGAUGCAGUCCUAGUACAGAUUAGAAGUAUGUUCAUGAUAGUUUGACCUACAUCCCUAUGAUGCAGUCCUAGUUCAGAGUAGAAGUAUGUUUGUAGAAUGGUCUUUAAAUGUUUAUCGUUCAAGCCGAGGCAUUAUAGGUUGGUGGAUAAUAUGAUCCAACCUUUAAAAGAGGCUUUGAAAAAUGAUUUUGGAGUUAAAUUACCAUAGUCCAAUAACUUGACUAGAUGGGGUUUCAGAUAGACUCCAACGGUAGAAAAAUGAAGGUAUUUGAACAAAGAGUAACACGGAAGUUAAUCGACUUUCGAUAUCAUUGAUGUUUAAGAUGUAAUAGGUUUGGAGAAAUUGACCUUGUUGUAGGUCAUACAUCAUAUUCGGAGUAGAAAAGUCCUUAACAGCAUAAAGACUUUACUAAAAGUACUUACAGUACAAGGUAGUCGCAUAGAAAGUACUUACACAGAACAUAGACAGGAACACGGUUCUUUAAAACAAAGGAGGAAGUAAGGUAUCUCCUACUGGCGACGGUCACCCCUAUGGUGAACCCUUAGUUCGGUUAGUUGACAUUUCAUAUCAAGCAGGUAUCUCUCGUACACCCUCUGGCGUACUUGGAGCUCUAUAACUUCGGCUUGAGGUUCAGCUAGUGCUUGUAGAAGGGUCUCAUUGUUUCUCUCAGAUCUCUCACUGGUGAUCAAGGUGAUUGGUCCGAAUGGUAUGCAUUCUUGCAUUGGCAUUAACCUCUUCGAUACGUUGAAAAGUCGUCCUGCCCUGAAUUUGGUUUCGGGAAACUCUACGGAUUAUGAUUUGUAGAACUCUAUCUGCUGAGAUCCCUUCACUUGAGUGGUAGAAGCUUCGGUAUCCAUUAACAACAUAGGUUGAUCUUGCUCUUCGCUCCAUAUUUCCAACCAUUCUACCCAAGGAGGUGUCGGGCCAUGAAGGGCUGGAAGAGGGUUAGGGUUUGAAUUGGGAGCUAUUAGGGGUAGGUUCUCAUUUUCGAGUUCAGAGUUAUCAUCAUCCGAAAGGUCUUCAGCAUGGUGAUCAUUCAAAAGGGAGUGGAUGAUCAUUCUCUGGUUGUUCUCUGAACCAUCCAACACUGCCUUUGAUCGAGAAGUACGGGUUGUCGUGGGGAUGGAGUCCAGCCAUGUUAUCUAUACGAGGAUUUGGGUAAAGAAAUAAUUAUUAGACGAACUAUCUAGAUAAUUAUUAGAUAACCUUCAUUAGUUACAUCAUUAUUUGUAAAGUGCAUACCAGUUAUAUGUAAUCAAAACAGGAUAGGCUUUUGAAUAAGUGAACUCAACUCCAAAUUCGCAAGGAACCGGGGUAAAGCAGAAAUUCACAGAUUCUAAGUCUAUGACAUCCUAGUUACAUAUAACCUUAGUAUAUCUACUUAGCAACUAUCAACUUAGUAAUGAAGAUCCUUUUUAGUUCUCGAGUAAGUAAUUAUGGUAACACAAAAUACUCCUAUAGUAUUUUAGACUUAGGUUCUGUUAUAAUGUUCUCAUUGUGGUAGUGUUGGUAAGUUUUUUUUUUUUUUUAGACUUGUUGCCACAUCACAACCAUUCUUGGGCAUAUGCUAAUCACUCCUCGGACCAGCAUAGUUGAUCAGGCUAUGCCAUUCCCAGGACUGACCAUACAUCCCCAAGCUUACUUGUGAUAUUCAACAAUCGUAAUACUUUUGUUCUUGUCAUUGUGACACUGAUUUUAGUAUGAAUGCAGGCACGUAUACUUAAUUAAAUAUUUUAUUAUUUAAAAGUAUGAACUCGAAGUCAGAUUAUUUUUAAUCCCAUUGUAUUUAUAGUUAGUAUAUCUUUUAUGGGUUGAUAUACUCAAUUCACUAUAAACAAUGCUCUGAUACCAAUCUCUAACACCCCCAAACCAGAACGACGGAAACGUUCAGGGGUGGAGGACGUCAUGUCAUGUAUCAUAACAAUUGAAUAGUAAAGAAAGUACACACCACCAUAAUAUAAAUAUAUUUGAAAAGUUUACAUGAUUGUAUGUGUUACAUGUUUGCAAAAGAAAUCAAAUACAAUAUGGUGAUCCAAAAUGUGUUACUAACGCCAUCGCGUUAGUCUUCAAAAGUAGUUGCUACCUGGUUUAGCGGUUUCCUGAGAAUACAAGUUAUUUCAAAGAAAAAGUGUCAACAUUUAAGUUGGUGAGUUCAUAAGUAGUGUUUUGAGGAAAUGUAUGCCAUUCGAAAGUGCGUGUGUGUUUUCCCAAGAAAAUCCGAUAUUUUCUUAUAAAAGUAUGAAAUGCAUGAGAAUAUUUGUUGUAUAAAUUGUAUGUAUUUAAACCAGGAAAAUCCCUUAUUUUCCUAAAAGUGAAAAUGCAGUCUCAAAUGACCAAGACCGUAAGCUGUAAGCAAUUAUGACAUGCUAGAAAGAAGGUGUAUAGUUUUAUUGUUAAGUAAAACUAGUUGUGGAAGUGUUUAUCAUGAGUUUUUUAUUAUGCUGAUAAUACCCUAGAAUAUAGUUAUUACCUCCGCUAAGCAUGAUUGAGUUAUGUACUACUACGUGCUUGAGUCAUUGUUUCCGCGUGUUGUGGGUUCCUCAUAACCAUACUAGACGCAGUACCUAUGUUGACAUUUGUCACCCCUAAUGACGGACUGUAGCUAACAGUCAGGGUGCGGAGUUGUCAGCCCCGUAUAGAUCUAUACACACUUGUCACGCUCUCCCUCCAAGAGACUCUGGUUAUAGGUGGGGACUUUCGUUUGGUACAAACAAAGCCAUAUGACACCACAUGAUUGCUAACAACGAGUUCACGAGUAAUAUGAUGAAAAAUCGUUUGUAUGAAAUGAUUUCCUUUUCUACUGUGUUACAAAGACGUGAUGAUGAGUUGAGUUUUCUUGCAAAAGCAUCAUGUUAUAGUUGAAAUGGUUACCCUUGAUAUGAUGUAGUAUGCAAACGUAUAAAUAAAACAUAUUUCUAUUUAUGGAACAUAUUGUAUCCCAAGAGGGUAAGUUGUGUUGUGAGGUAUUUUGCAUGAUAAUAACUUCAUAAGAUAGUUAAAACAAUAGUAUGAAAAGUAUAGCAAAAGAUCGAUGUUUCACACGAUUUUAGUCGUGUGUUUACUUGUAUUCCCCCCUUAAAAGCAUAUAAAAGUAUUUAUAAAACAUUUAAAAGUGUAGUUUAUAGGGGUAUGAACUCACUUGAUUGAUUGAAGAAAGCGUGACGAAAACCGAGCAGAACUUCUACUCGAGAAAGCGGAUCUCUCGAGAUUCCCGGGAAAUCUCGGGAGUCUCGGGAGUGUAAAACUUUCUUCCCACCUUGGAUAUGAAAAUCGGGCCUUUGGGAUGACUCCGAGGGUUGAAACGCAGAGCUUCGGCGCGAGAAAGGAAGGAAAUUAGCAAAUAUGGCCGGCACCCUCGCAUCUCUAUUUAUUGGGGUCUGAGAGGUCUCGUUACGCGGGGCGUACUAGAGUACGCGCUGCGUACUCAUGCGUCAUGCAUGAGCGCAUCCUC